AUGUCAUAAUUACAUUGUUGGUUAUAGUUAACAAGAAGAAUUGAUGAAGGAAAGACUAAUUUUCCUUUGAAUUUGACGAAAUAGUGGAUGAAAUCUACCAACAAUGGGUCAAUCGGCUUAUUUCAAAUAGUUUAGGGGGUUAAUUUACCAAAAAAAAUAGUUCAAGGGGUAAUAGUUCAAGAGGUCAAAUAGUAGUUUACCCUUAUUUAUUUGUGUAAUAAUUAGAUUAGGUCAUUGAGUAAUUGUACUGUAACAUGUGUCGUAGCAGCAAGCAUGCAUGUAGGAAAUGG
rnacentral:lncRNA from 1 species